ensembl:lncRNA
UCCUAUGUUCCCCGUUUUUCCCAAAAAGGGUCCUAUGUUCCCCUGUAGCCAUACAUACCGGGGAGCAUAGGACCCUUUUUGGGAAAAGCGGGGAGCAUAGGACCUAUUUUCGACACCCAGAGCUCUUUAUAUAAUAGUAUAUAAUCUAAUAUAAUUGUAUAAUAAUAUCACGGCCAAAAGCUCUGUGCGCCUCCGGAUGGCCGCGGGAAGCUCUCGUAGGGAUUGGGCUUCUCGGGGUUUGAUUACCGGCGUAUGAAUAGACUGCGUCAGGUUCUCCGACGUCUCUCCCUCUUCCACAAAAGGUAAAGACAUUAAAUGGUAGUUAUCUCGGCCGGAAUUUGGCAGUAAUGGUGAGAAAAAGUAACAGACCGGGAAGAUAGAACCCUUUUUUUGAAAAAGGUUCCUAUGCUCCCCAGUCUCAUACAAAGAGGGGGACCCGGGGAACAUAGACAUGCUCCCAGCUAAUGCUAGUGUAAAUGGUGCUAAUUUAGUGCAAUUUCAGAUGAGAUUUUGUGUGAACAUUUGUGAGCGUGCUGUGUGGAGAAUGUUUAGCACAAAUUGCCCACUGUUAAGAAAAUGACAAGAUUUUUUUUUUACAAAUGUCUUAUGUUGGCACUUGCCAGCCACCACUGUUGGUGAUGAUUUGAUAAAGAAUUUGCCAGUGGUUCAUGCUAAUGAUUGUUAAUGUUUACCUUGUGUAAUUUAAUUUUUGUGUAACUAUGUUUAUAAAAAGACUUAAAGUGACUUGUUGUUGACGUACAAAAUAUCUAAAAUAUUGAGCAAAAGAGGGUAAAAACAUGGUUUUGACAGUUUUGUCUUAUGUAUGGUUGUGGUUACAGACAACUACAAGGAGUUGAUGGGGAAAAAAGAAGCCUUCCUCAAGGAUGAGGACAUCUGGCACAUGGCAGUUGCAAGAAGGACCACACCUUGUACCACAACACAUGAUGGAAGCAAACCAAAGAAAAAAAGAAUUACGGCAACUUCCAGUCUCACUUCAGAUGAUGAUGAAACACAGAUUGACCCAUCACGAGUUCUUCAAACAAAUAAGCCGAAGAUGACAAAGGCUGCAAGAGACCGAGCCCUUGCCCAACUGAAAUCCUCGCUGCUGAGAAGAAAGCAAACAACCUCCACCCCCUUGACAAAUGAAGACGAUACAGACAUAGACACCAAUGUGGACUUAUUUGACCCACCUCAGGCUUCGGGAUCAAGUGACCUCUCCCAAGGGGAAAGUGAAGAGGAGAGUGUCCUGAUGGAUCAGCCCAGAUCCAGUGUUGGCAUGCAACAGGAAGUGAUGGAUGCUCUGAAAGAAAUACCAGCCUUAGUCAAGUGUGUCAAAGAUCUUAUUGCAACCAUGAAGAGAAUGCCACCUGUCAUGGACACUGACAGUACAUGUUCUGGCUCUUCCAGUCCAGCUCCAGAAAUGCAUGCAGUUGUUCAGAAAUUAUGCUUUAAUUCAUUGAAGACCACUUGCAGAAAUUACAACUUAACUAAUAUUUGGCAUUCAA